rnacentral:tRNA from 1 species
GGAGAUGUAGCUCAGUGGUAGAGCACUCACCUAGCAUGUGUGAAGCCCUAGGUUCAACCUCCAGAACCACCU